CGUAGGUGGCAAGCGUUGUCCGGAUUUAUUGGGUUUAAAGGGUGCGUAGGCGGUCCUAUAAGUCAGUGCUGAAAUAUCCCGGCUUAACCGGGAGGGUGGCAUUGAUACUGUUGGACUUGAGUAAAGUUGAGGUUGGCGGAAUUGACGGUGUAGCGGUGAAAUGCUUAGAUAUCGUCAAGAACACCUAUUGCGAAGGCAGCUAACUAAGCUUUAACUGACGCUGAGGCACGAAAGUGUGGGGAUCAAACAGGAUUAGAUACCCUGGUAGUCCACACUGUAAACGUUGAUUACUCGAUGUUGGCGAUACACAGUCAGCGUCUUAGCGCAAGCGAUAAGUAAUCCACCUGGGGAGUACGCCGGCAACGGGG
rnacentral:rRNA from 1 species